rnacentral:rRNA from 1 species
UACGUAGGGGGCAAGCGUUGUCCGGAAUUAUUGGGCGUAAAGAGCGCGUAGGCGGUCCGAUAAGUCGGCUGUGAAAGUCAGGGGCUCAACCCUUGAAAGCCGGCCGAUACUGUCGGACUAGAGUCCGGAAGAGGCAAGUGGAAUUCCCGGUGGAGCGGUGAAAUGCGCAGAGAUCAGGAGGAACACCCGUAGCGAAGGCGACACGCUGGGCCGUACCUGACACUGAUGCGCGACAGCAUGGGGAGCAAACAGG